UACGUAGGGGGCAAGCGUUGUCCGGAUUUAUUGGGCGUAAAGAGCUCGUAGGCGGCUCGUUGCGUCGGCUGUGAAAACCCGCAGCUCAACUGUGGGCUUGCAGCUGAUACGGGCGGGCUGGGAUUCGGUAGGGGAGACUGGAAUUCCUGGUGUAGCGGUGAAAUGCGCAGAUAUCAGGAGGAACACCGGUGGCGAAGGCGGGUAGCUGGGCCGACACUGACGCUGAGGCGCGAAAGCCAGGGGAGCGAACGGG
rnacentral:rRNA from 1 species